rnacentral:lncRNA from 1 species
AAGAUUCAUGACAUCUGUCUAAAAUGGCACGGCACAUUGGAAAUGUUGGAUUGAGAGAACGAGAAAGUUGCUGAAAAUAAUAAUUUUCAACAACUGAAAGUGACUCCCCACUAGAAAUUAUAAACAUGGCCAUAGCUCUUCUUGCAGCAUUGAAAUCAGGACCAGUUCUGUUAACAUCUGAAUGAAGAGACAUCAAGAGAGAAGCACCGCUUUUACCAGAGUUUCUCCUACAUGCAGAACAUUUAGAAGAAUUCCCAUGCUGCUUAAGUAUCCAGAAACCUUCCCAAAUAUCAGAUGUUUUGUGGCGUUUCCCACUUGGUUCUGAUUCAUCUGACACAUAUUCUUCAUCCUCCUCCACCUCCUUGUUGUCAUCACCACCAAACACCCGAGGGCCAGUCACACUUGUCUGAG